UACAGAGGUCCCAAGCGUUGUUCGGAUUCACUGGGCGUAAAGGGUGCGUAGGUGGUUAGGUAAGUCCGAUGUGAAAUCUCCAGGCUCAACCUGGAAAUGGCAUUGGAUACUAUCUAGCUUGAGGAGUGGAGGGGGGACUGGAAUUCUCGGUGUAGCAGUGAAAUGCGUAGAGAUCGGGAGGAACACCAGUGGCGAAGGCGGCCUUCUGGACCAGUACUGACGCUCAUGCACGAAAGCGUGGGGAGCAAACAGG
rnacentral:rRNA from 1 species